GUUCCAAGAAUUUCUUCCUGAAGUUUGCAUAGCCAGGAGGAUUGAAUUUUGGAGCAAAGAAGAAAGGAUAGGUUCAGUAUCACCAUCCAAGUCUUGUAUUCAAAACUGCUCAGUUUGUCAACCAACAAUUGCUAUGGUAAUGGUGGGAUCCUUUAACCAUUGGUGACCUCCUCGUUUAAAGAGAAAAUUUUUUGUUACUUUCCCCAACCUUGUUUUCCAGUGUAAAGAUGCUGUUAUAAUCCCC
rnacentral:misc_RNA from 1 species